ensembl:lncRNA
CCUUGCUUGUGGCUAUUAAAGAGGAUUCGAGGAGCCACUCAGCGGAGUGUGAAAUUACACCUGUUCGCUGUUUGCACACACUCUCGUAUCUGCAUGAGCCUAAAAUCACCAUCAGAAUUGUAUUCAAAUACCUCCAUGAGGCAGCCAGUGACAUGUGAAGGUCAGAAUUCAUUUACGAAGAGAAGAUCCCCAGUGCUGUUUAUCAAGUUGAGGGAAGAGUGUAGCGAAGGAAAUAUUCUGCACUGAAGUUACGAGAAGACUUCUACUCUUUCAG